ACCGCUCCGUUGGCCUAGUGGUUUAAACGUCCGCUUCUGAAGCGGGAGGUCGUGGGUUCGAUCCCAGGUCAAGUGAUA